AUUGAACGCUGGCGGCAUGCCUUACACAUGCAAGUCGAACGGUAGAGUAGCAAUACUUGAGAGUGGCGAACGGGUGAGUAAUAUAUCGGAACGUGCCCAGUCGUGGGGGAUAACGUAGAGAAAUUUACGCUAAUACCGCAUACGAUCUAAGGAUGAAAGCGGGGGAUUCGCAAGAACCUCGCGCGAUUGGAGCGGCUGAUAUCAGAUUAGGUUGUUGGUGAGGUAAAAGCUCACCAAGCCGACGAUCUGUAGCUGGUUUGAGAGAACGACCAGCCACACUGGGACUGAGACACGGCCCAGACUCCUACGGGAGGCAGCAGUGGGGAAUUUUUGGGACAAUGGGCGAAAGACCUGAUCCAGCAAUGCCGCGUGCAGGAAGAAGGCCU
rnacentral:rRNA from 1 species